CAAAGUUUCAGUUGGACUAUUACACUGCAACUGUUAUCCUGCAUGGUAACCACAGUUAAGCAUAAUGUUUAUUUCAAUAUUGCUAAAAUAUAUUUAAAGGACUGAUUGACUAUUUUCAGGGUGUCCCAGGAUGGCCUGAACUGGAUAAUAGAGAAUUUAUGCUAUACUGUACUAUCUAUAUGUAUAUGAAAUAUAGUGGUGGAUUCUCUUUCACAGGAAUUUCCUCAAAAAGAUCUUCAUGGAAUGGAAAUACUUCUGAAACUUCUCCAGUUUGUAGUCUUUUGAAAGAAAAAAAUCAGAAAAUCCUAAGACAAAGCAUACAGGAUCUUAACCAUUCAGGGCUGGGAUUACAAGUGUGAACCACUGCACCCAGCCUCUUUUUGUAUCUAGAAAUGUUUGUGCUAUUUUGUUCUGAGCCCUUUUUAUUAACAUCUUCAUAUAAUCUAUAAUUUUAUUAACAUCUGUAAAUAAUACCUUUAGUCCGGGAACAGCUACCCCCAAGGCCCUCUGCCUUCCUCCUGCUCUCCCGGGGAGUCCCUUCUUCCCCCUUCCCUUCCGAAUUAACCUGUUCUUUACCUGGAUGUUAACAUUAUUCAGCCCCUUUCCCCAUUCAAGGUUAGUGUUCCAUUUUUAGCCCUGAAAUACACAUGAAUUAGAUUACUAGACUAUUCACUGAUCAAUAAUGUGAAAAAAACAAAAAAGAAAAACUAUGAGUCAGAAGAGGAAAAAUAGUGAGUCAUCAGACAGAGGGCGUCUCUAUUCUAUUAAUUUCAACUGCACAGUCCAUAAUAACCAGUGUGUGAGAGUUUCAGCCUUCAUCCAAAUAACGUAUGUGAAACCACAAAGGAAUUCAAGCUGCAGACCACAAGGCACAUUUAAGAGGUUACAAUGUUAGUGUUGAGCUUGGGGACAUAGAAUAGAGCAUUGAUUUCUGAUAAAUUAUUGUGCAUUGACAUUUUCGGCACGGGCAUUUCUUUCUGUAUUAUGGUUCCAUAAAAAAGUCAGUUUGGGCCCAUUAAUUGCCUCAGAGGGAAGGGUGUGUGUGUGUGUGUGUGUGUGUGUCGUGUGUUAGGUGGAAUGUGCUGGAU
rnacentral:lncRNA from 1 species